rnacentral:lncRNA from 1 species
CACUGACCAAAAGUAACUUAGGGGAGGAGACAGUUGAUUUGGCUUCCACUUCUGGGUCACUUCAGUCCAUAACUGAAGGACAUCAGGGCAAGAACUCAGGACCUGAAGCCGAAACCACAGAGGACUGCUGCUCACUGGCUCAUGCUCGGCUUUCAUGUACAGCCCAGGCCCCUGUGCCUAGGAAUGGUGCCAUUGACAGUGGACUGAGCCCCCUCACACAAUCAACAACCAAAUGGCUCAGCGCCAUCCCUCAGUUGACAUUCCCUCUCCUCAGGUGAAGAUGCAAACCUCCCAGCUGCCUUCUCUCACUACCUGCCACCCCGCCUCCCUACGUGAUGGACUUGUAACCUUCUGGAAUGGAGAGCCAAAUAAACCAUGCCUUCUACAUGCCACCUUGAACAGGGUGCUUUACUACAGCAACAGCACAGAAACUACAGCAGUGAUGAUAUUAGCCUUAUUUCUACUUUAACUCGGCCCAUUUAUAGUUCGCUGAUGAUUCGACUUAAAAGCAUUCUUUGGACUAGGUAUGAUUAGACGUGUAUACAAUCCCAACAUUCGAGAUGCUGAAGCAGAACUGAGUCUCAGGUCCUCCCGGACCACACAUCGUGAGUUGUCUGGGCUGCAUAUUGAGACCUCGUCACGAAAAGUAACUUUUGAGUUGCUGAUGGUGCUCAGAAUUCAUGUCGUUUUUCCGAAUCCCAACUAAAAUUUGAAAUGAGUGCAGCCUCUGUGCUGCAGACUCACCGGCUGGAACGCAUUUUACUGAAAUAUUCGUGCAAGCGUGGGAAAGGAGAUACAGGAGAAAGGCCACCACUGUACUGCUUAAACUGAAAACUGUCUUGUCCACCCUGCGGAGGACAUAUGGGCAGCAGUGGCUUCUGCUGUAGGAAGCCCCACUGGGACUGAGCUGAGGUGGCAGCACAGAAAGAGAUCCUCUAUGGGGGUGUGACAG